rfam:Mycobacterium palustre strain DSM 44572 contig_78, whole genome shotgun sequence.
AGCUGCACCGGAUCGACGGAGCGGGUGACCACCAGGUAGUCGCGCAGCGCGACGCUGUGCCGGGUCUC